GACGAACGCUGGCGGCGUGCUUAACACAUGCAAGUCGAACGGAAAGGCCCUGCUUUUGUGGGGUGCUCGAGUGGCGAACGGGUGAGUAACACGUGAGUAACCUGCCCUUGACUUUGGGAUAACUUCAGGAAACUGGGGCUAAUACCCGAUAGGAGCUCCUGCUGCAUGGUGGGGGUUGGAAAGUGUCGGCGGUUGGGGAUGGACUCGAGGCUUAUCAGCUUGUUGGUGGGGUAGUGGCUGACCAAGGGUUUGACGGGUAGCCGGCAUGAGAGGGUGACCGGCGACAUUGGGACUGAGAGACGGACCAGACGCCUACGGGAUGCAGCAGUGGGGAAUAUUGCGCAGUGGGGGGAAGCCUGAUGCAGCAACGUUGCGUGCGGGAUGACGGCCUUCGGGUUGUAAACCGCUUUCGCAUGUGACGAAGCGUGAGUGACGGUAAUGGGUAAAGAAGCACCGGCUAACUACGUG
rnacentral:rRNA from 1 species